rnacentral:tmRNA from 1 species
GGGGCCGAUCGGUUUCGACUCCGUACGUUGACGUAAGGGAAGCGGGUCGAGGAAGCCAACGUCGUCUCGUUAAUCGUCGUUGGAAAACACAAAUGCGAAGUCUAAUCGCAACGACUUCGCCCUCGCUGCAUAAGCAGGGUUGAAGUCUGUCGGUCCAGGGGCGCGCCCGCCCUGGUCACCGGCAUCAUUUUAGGGCGCUAGGCGAACGAAUCGGCCACGGAUUCGUGAGCGACAUCUAACAGUGGCUGGAGCCCGUCACAUCGACUUGUUCGCGUGAUCGAUGGGGCUUGAGGAAAGGCACUGCGAACUGCACCCGGAGAAGCCUUACUGAGCCGGCGGAGGACCAGGGUUCGAUUCCCUGCGGCUCCACGA